ACAGUAUAUAUGUACACACACACACACACACACGCACACAAAAUAACAAUAGAAUAUAUGAUGGUUUCUAUUUGCAAACUGUAGUGAUAGUAAGUCCUAAUGGGUCAAAGUAAACCUGCAGAGGAUUUAUGUAAUACAGGCAUUCAUCAUGUGUGACAGCAUAUAAAAUGAAUCACCUUGGCACUACUGUACAACAGUAAUUACUUUAAAUAUAAUGUUGCUGUGCCUGUUGAAGGCUAGCGGAAUGCAGCAAAAUAGUGCUAUGCACCAUGUGCUAUGACAGCACUGUGUUGAACACAUCCAUAGUGCUCAUUUAUAUGAGUGGUUUUUAUGCAAAUCAAAAAGCCCAUAGCAUGUAAUGGGGAAACUGAAUGUGACUGUGAAAGCUGAAUUGAUAUGGGCAAAUUAUAUUUCUUAUUUUGCUAAUUAUGGGCAGUGUCAACCUCAGUACAGUGAAUAAACGAACACAGAAUGACAGUUAAGUUCGGACUACCCCCUUAAGAGGUUAAGGGGGGUAGUCCUUACUCUGAGAAUGUGUCAUGUGUGGUUUGAUAUGUACUUCCAGUUGUAGAACCUACAAGCUGUUGCCUAAAAUGUUUGAAAAGAAGCACAUAAAUUACCAAGUGCAAAUUCAUAUGUGGGUGUUUCCUGUAUCCGUCAUAUUAUAACCUUCUUGGAUUAAGAGAACAUACAGUAGGCUAGAUCUAUCUGAAAACAGCUGUAUGACAUGGAGUACCUUGCCCUGUAGCAGUUAUUUAGGGAAUUGUACUUUUCCUAACAAUUUUUCCCCCUGUCUGAAUGAUUCUGAAUCUGAAUGGUUUACAUACCCAAGAAUUACCAAAUAGCCUGUUAUUUGCAGAACAAAUUAACUGUUUCAAAAUAAGUAUUUACAACUAAGGCAAUUCUCCUUAUAAAUUCAUUAAUAUUAUUGAUAAGAUUUGCAUAUUACACAUGGAGGAAGGAAACAUACUGUAACAGCCUUGUUAAUAAAAUGCUGGUAACAUGAUUAAUUUUAACAAAUAUUUAACUGAAAAUUAUUAAAAAUCCUGCUUUGGGGUAACUCCAAAACAGAAGUUCAGUUUUGUUAGCAAAGGAUUCAAUUUCCUCUGCUUGCAUCAGAUGAAAGAGGCUAAACUCAAGAGAAGGAUUAAUUUACUUAUUUAAAAUACUAACUACUAAAAUACUUGAAUCCAGAAGCAAGUCUAGCCAGUUAGAGAAGAACAUAUGAAAUUCUGUGUCUUUUGAAUUUUCACAAUCCUUUUAUUUUCAAAGGAUAAGUGAUAAUUAAUGACUCAGCUGUAUUGAUUUUGCAAAUAGUCAUAUGGGAAGGAGACUUACUGAAUUCUGGGUAAUUAUGCUACCAUGUGUUUUUGAUUAGAUAUAUUUUUAUUCAAAAUUAAAUUAAUAAAUAAAAAGCUAUACAGCUCCACAAUAAUAUUGCACCACUGCUAGAGAAUAAGAAUUGGAAAUCAAGGUUUCAAAUAAAAUAAUAACUAUACUAAAUAUGAACAGAUAAAUGCUGUAUUCAAUGCUUAAUGAGUACCAAGUCCAGACUGAAAGACAGAAACAUUUAAAAAUGAAAUAAAAAUUACAAAUUUCCCAGUAGAUGAUUUUUUUUUUCUGAAUAUCCUAAAAACGUAACUUUAUUACUUAAUAAAUACAUAUGCAUUGAAAUGAGUUGAUAUAUUAAAAAUCAAAGACAAAAAAGUUAUGCAGAGACGUCCAUAAGUGGUGCAGAGAAUGAAAGAGACUGGUGUUUUUGUAAAAAUCUGUUUAACAAAGCCCUGAAUACUACCAGAUUGCCCCUUCUUAAUUCAUGUCAAUUCUUGAAUCAUAAACACUGUUACUAUUUUUUUUCCUGCAGUCAAACAAACAUGCUUUGGAAAACUGUAUAUGCUGUAAAUCAGUACUAUUUAUAAAUCAUGUAAUAUGUAAUGAACAUGUACAUAUGUUUUAUGUUUUUAUUGUGCCAGGUACUCUGUAUGUAUGAAUUAUUUAGAUAAGAUAAAACAACUAUGUUUUUUACGCCACUUUGCCAGCUGAAUGAUGCCGAAGUACUAUGUAAUAAAACAAAGAAACAAGCUUGU
ensembl:lncRNA